rnacentral:tRNA from 1 species
CCUUCGAUAGCUCAGUUGGUAGAGCGGUGGACUGUAGUUGGAAACUUGCAAUAGAAAUCCAUAGGUCGCUGGUUCAAAUCCGGCUCGAAGGA